rnacentral:rRNA from 1 species
GGCUGAAAUUCGCCUUCCAUGAAGUCGGAAUUGCUAGUAAUGGCAGGUCAGCAUACUGCCGUGAAUACGUUCCCGGGCCUUGUACACACCGCCCGUCACACCAUGAGAGUUGGGAAUACCCGAAGCCUGUGAGCCAACAAACGAGGCAGCAGUCGAAGGUAGAAUCAAUGAUUGGGGUGAAGUCGUAACAAGGUACC